GGUGAGGAAGCAAGCUGUGAAAUAGGAUGUUCCUGAUGUAGUUUCAGAGUUAAUUCACAACUAGGAGAUGACUCCAUCCCAAACAAGCUUGUAAUUCUCUGCAUGAGCCAUGGGGAGGGGCAUUUAAAACAUUGCUGCUGGAUUUAUUACUCAUAUGGACAACCUUGAACUGUUCCCAGUUCCCAAUCUGGUUCAGGUUAAUAUAGCAACAUCCACAGAGCAAUGACAUGAAGAGCAAAACCUGGGAAUUUGGCUCAGGAGCUUAGCAAUACUGAAAAUUAAGCUGAAUGGACAUUCAGAAUGUCCUUGAGAGAUGAUGCAAAAUGCUGUGAUCAUUUGAAAGAUGAAUAGUUCAAAUGUUGUUGAUUAGAAGAUGAAGUUCCUGCAAUGGGAUUAGCAGAUCCUGGCUGUGUUUCUUGAGUGCUUUGUAAUGUCUAUUUAACAUGAAUAGGAAUGCCUUACUUCAGAAGGUGAGAAGCAAAACUAAAAUAGAUACUGUUUUGCAUAGUGGCAGCUAUUAACAGUUCAAGAACUUUAUCUCUUCUUGGGAGCAUAAUGGUAUCUGUUAACAUUGUGAUCAGCCCUUUCCUCCCAUGCUUUGUUUUGUGGUUUGGUGGAAAGAAGCAAAUAGCAGAAUGUGGGAUCUUAACUCUCUCAGAGCUUCUCUCUCCAUUACUUUUUUGCUAAAUGUGUAUGUAGAUGUCAAGGGAAGGUUUCAGUUGUUUCAUAAUCCAAUAAAUAAUUGAAAUAAA